GUAGGUGACCUGCGGANGGAUCAUUA
rnacentral:rRNA from 2 species